rnacentral:rRNA from 1 species
UACGAGGGGGGCAAGCGUUGUUCGGAAUUACUGGGCGUAAAGCGCACGUAGGCGGCUUUGUAAGUUAGAGGUGAAAGCCCGGAGCUCAACUCCGGAAUUGCCUUUAAGACUGCAUCGCUAGAAUUGUGGAGAGGUAAGUGGAAUUCCGAGUGUAGAGGUGAAAUUCGUAGAUAUUCGGAAGAACACCAGUGGCGAAGGCGACUUACUGGACACAUAUUGACGCUGAGGUGCGAAAGCGUGGGGAGCAAACAGG